CCUACGGGUGGCUGCAGUGGGGAAUAUUGGACAAUGGGGGGAACCCUGAUCCAGCCAUGCCGCGUGUGUGAAGAAGGCCCUCGGGUUGUAAAGCACUUUCAGUGAGGAAGAACGCCUGGUGGUUAAUACCCAUCAGGAAAGACAUCACUCACAGAAGAAGCACCGGCUAACUCCGUGCCAGCAGCCGCGGUAAUACGGAGGGUGCGAGCGUUAAUCGGAAUUACUGGGCGUAAAGCGCGCGUAGGUGGCUUGAUAAGCCGGUUGUGAAAGCCCCGGGCUCAACCUGGGAACGGCAUCCGGAACUGUCAAGCUAGAGUGCAGGAGAGGAAGGUAGAAUUCCCGGUGUAGCGGUGAAAUGCGUAGAGAUCGGGAGGAAUACCAGUGGCGAAGGCGGCCUUCUGGACUAACACUGACACUGAGGUGCGAAAGCGUGGGUAGCAAACAGGAUUAGAUACCCGUGUAGUC
rnacentral:rRNA from 1 species